rnacentral:rRNA from 1 species
GACGAACGCUGGCGGCGUGCUUAACACAUGCAAGUCGAACGGAAAGGCCUCUUUCGGGGGGUACUCGAGUGGCGAACGGGUGAGUAACACGUGAGUAACCUGCCCUUGACUUUGGGAUAACUUCAGGAAACUGGGGCUAAUACCGGAUAGGAGCUCCUGCUGCAUGGUGGGGGUUGGAAAGUUUCGGCGGUUGGGGAUGGACUCGCGGCUUAUCAGCUUGUUGGUGGGGUAGUGGCUUACCAAGGCUUUGACGGGUAGCCGGCCUGGGAGGGUGACCGGCGACAUUGGGACUGAGAUACGGCCCAGACUCCUACGGGAGGCAGCAGUGGGGAAUAUUGCACAAUGGGUGGAAGCCUGAUGCAGCAACGCCGUGUGCGGGAUGACGGCCUUCGGGUUGUAAACCGCUUUCGCUCAUGACGAAGCUUUGUGUGACGGUAGUGGGUAAAGAAGCACCGGCUAACUACGUG